rnacentral:rRNA from 1 species
UCUUUUUAUUUUUAAAAAACCUUUUUCGGAAGGUAUGCUUAAAGAGGGGCUUGCGUCACAUUAUUUAGUUGGCAGGGUAAAGGCCUACCAAGACUAUGAUGUGUAGCUGGACUGAGAGGUUGAACAGCCACUUUGGGACUGAAACACGGCCCAAACUCCUACGGGAGGCAGCAGUAGGGAAUUUUCGGCAAUGGAGGAAACUCUGACCGAGCAACGCCGCGUGAACGAUGAAGUAUUUCGGUAUGUAAAGUUCUUUUAUUGAAGAAAAAAAAAUAGUGGAAAAACUAUCUUGACGAUAUUCAAUGAAUAAGCCCCGGCAAACUAUGUGCCAGCAGCCGCGGUAAUACAUAGGCGGCGAGCGUUAUCCGGAAUUAUUGGGCGUAAAGGGUGCGUAGGCGGUUUAAUAAGUCUAUAGUUUAAUUUCAGUGCUUAACACUGUCCUGCUAUAGAAACUAUUAGACUAGAGUGAGAUAGAGGCAAGUGGAAUUCCAUGUGUAGCGGUAAAAUGCGUAAAUAUAUGGAGGAACACCAGAGGCGUAGGCGGCUUGCUGGGUCUUUACUGACGCUGAGGCACGAAAGCGUGGGGAGCAAACAGGAUUAGAUACCCUGGUAGUCCACGCCGUAAACGAUGAGUACUAAGUGUCGGGAUUACUCGGUACUGAAGUUAACACAUUAAGUACUCCGCCUGAGUAGUACGUACGCAAGUAUGAAACUUAAAGGAAUUGACGGGACUCCGCACAAGCGGUGGAUCAUGUUGUUUAAUUUGAAGAUACACGAAAAACCUUACCAGGUCUUGACAUACUCUGCAAAGCUAUAGCAAUAUAGUGGAGGUUAUCAGGGAUACAGGUGGUGCAUGGUUGUCGUCAGCUCGUGUCGUGAGAUGUUAGGUUAAGUCCUAAAACGAGCGCAACCCUUGUCAUUAGUUGCCAGCAUGUCAUGAUGGGCACUUUAAUGAGACUGCCAAUGAAAAAUUGGAGGAAGGUGAGGAUCACGUCAAAUCAUCAUGCCCCUUAUGAUCUGGGCUACAAACGUGAUACAAUGGCUGUUACAAAGAGUAGCUGAAACGCAAGUUUAUAGCCAAUCUCAUAAAAGCAGUCUCAGUUCGGAUUGAAGUCUGCAACUCGACUUCAUGAAGUUGGAAUCGCUAGUAAUCGCGAAUCAGCAUGUCGCGGUGAAUACGUUCUCGGGGUUUGUA